rnacentral:rRNA from 1 species
AUGCAGGAGCUCGAUGCCUCAUUUUUGAUCUCCAUCAACACCUCCCAUCUUGUGAGAAACAAGGUUUCAUCCAUCAAACUGAUGCAGCUGUUUGUGGACCAUGACGUGGAUUUGCCGCCCACAAGGCACCACGGGCUGCAGAUACGUCCGAUGCCGUGGCCAUCACUUUCGGGAGACCUUGCAGAUGGCAGGGAGGUACGACCCAUCCCUUGGCCUUUGUUCCCUGUGAAGAAGUUUAUGGAGCAUCCAUUCCAGUAUGUCCAAUUGCUUGAUAUGACUAGUAGCACCUUUCCUGUGGAAUCAUGUCAUGCUGGAGAACUUGUGGGCAAUCACAAUGUACACUGCAUCCAGAUAACCUCUAUCGAGCCCUUGUGCUUAUGGUCUUUGCAACAGAACAAUGUUGGUUCCUGUCACCAUAAGCAUGCCAAUCUAUUUUCUUACAAUAAACAGUGGCCUUUGGAAUGGGGUACAUGCACUAUUAUUCUUGCUCUUGGAACGCAUCAUUCUGGUCUUGCUCCUAUGGCUGUACAUCAUUUUCGGCGUGCGAAGAAACACAGUGCUUGGAACUGGAUGAGCGGUUUUGAUUUUUAG